rnacentral:rRNA from 1 species
GAGGUGGAAGCUCAGUAAUGUUGUGCAGCUUACCGAUACUAAUUGACCGAGGGCUUGAACU